rnacentral:rRNA from 1 species
GAAGGGACCUAGCGUAGUUCGGAAUUACUGGGCUUAAAGAGCUCGUAGGUGGUUAGAAAAGUUAAUGGUGAAAUCCCAAGGCUUAACCUUGGAACUGCCAUUAAAACUUUUUAACUAGAGUAUGAUAGAGGUAAGCGGAAUUUCUAGUGUAGGGGUGAAAUUCGUAGAUAUUAGAAAGAACACCAAUUGCGAAGGCAGCUUUCUGGAUCAUUACUGACACUGAGGAGCGAAAGCAUGGGUAGCGAAGAGGAUUAGAUACCCUCGUAGUCCAUGCCGUAAACGAUGUGUGCUAGACGUUGGAAAUUUAGUUUUCAGUGUCGCAGCAAAAGCGUUAAGCACACCGCCUGGGGAGUACGACCGCAAGGUUAAAACUCAAAUGAAUUGACGGGGACCCGCACAAGUAGUGGAGCAUGUGGUUUAAUUCGAAGAUACGCGCAGAACCUUACCAACACUUGACAUGUUCGUCGCGACUCUAAGAGAUUAGAGUUUUCGGUUCGGCCGGACGAAACACAGGUGCUGCAUGGCUGUCGUCAGCUCGUGUCGUGAGAUGUUGGGUUAAGUCCCGCAACGAGCGCAACCCUUACUUUUAGUUGCGACCAUUUAGUUGAGCACUCUAA